AUAUAAUAUAUAUAUAUAUACUAAAAUUGGAAUAAUACAGAGAAGAUUAGCAUGGCUGCUGCACAAGGAUGACCCGCAAAUCUGUGAAGCGUUCCAUAUUUUC